AACGACUCUCGACAACGGAUAUCUCGGCUCUCGCAUCGAUGAAGAACGUAGCGAAAUGCGAUACUUGGUGUGAAUUGCAGAAUCCCGUGAACCAUCGAGUCUUUGAACGCAAGUUGCGCCCGAAGCCAAUAGGUCAAGGGCACGUCUGCCUGGGUGUCACGU
rnacentral:rRNA from 1 species